CUGGAUGAGCUGGCGGCCGGAGGCGAUGGGGACUCGGGCGCUAGCGAGGGAGGUGAGGUAAAGGAGACGAGAGUCGUCACGUGAGAGGGUGUCAUCCCAUGAGGAGCUGGGGCCAAAGGAAUGGAGAAUAUGGAGGUUAGAACCAAUGUCCGGCGGAGCCGAAUGGGCGGCGGUCACAGCAGAGGAGUGGGAGGCGAGGAGAGAGAGGAGGGCAG
rnacentral:misc_RNA from 1 species